UAGGGAAUCUUCCACAAUGGACGCAAGUCUGAUGGAGCAACGCCGCGUGAGUGAAGAAGGUUUUCGGACCGUAAAGCUCUGUUGUUGGUGAAGAAGGAUAGAGGUAGUAACUGGCCUUUAUUUGACGGUAAUCAACCAGAAAGUCACGGCUAACUACGUGCCAGCAGCCGCGGUAAUACGUAGGUGGCAAGCGUUGUCCGGAUUUAUUGGGCGUAAAGCGAGCGCAGGCGGAAGAAUAAGUCUGAUGUGAAAGCCCUCGGCUUAACCGAGGAAUUGCAUCGGAAACUGUUUUCUUGAGUGCAGAAGAGGAGAGUAGAACUCCAUGUGUAGCGGUGGAAUGCGUAGAUAUAUGGAAGAAUACCAGUGGCGAAGGCGGCUCUCUGGUCUGCAACUGACGCUGAGGCUCGAAAAGCAUGGGUAGCGAACAGGAUUAGAUACCCUGGUAGUCCAUGCCGUAAACGAUGAGUGCUAAGUGUUGGGAGGCUUCCGCCUCUCAGUGCUGCAGCUAACGCAUUAAGCACUCCGCCUAGGGAGUACGACCGCAAGGUUGAAACUC
rnacentral:rRNA from 1 species